GGAAUGUAACACAUACAUACAAGUGCAGUUUAGUCACAGGAUCCCAUUUUGGUGCUAUAAGAAAACACAUUUGAAGAGAUUUUGUUGUCAUAUAUACUGAUUUUAGUAUUUAUGGGAGAGUUUCUCGGGAGCCCUUGUGAAUUAUUAGGGGGCAUUUUUCAAUUUAAUCACGAGACUGUGAGCGAGUGCAUAUUCAAAAGAUCCUGCUAGAGAAGAGACAGUAGGAUCUUAAAAGCCUGUUUUGUCUCACUGACUUUUAACUCUUACUACAGAAAAACUUUGGACACACUACCAAGGAAUUGAAGUCCUUAGAAUCCUGAACUUGAAAAUAAUUGGACCUGUUUAGACAGAUGUACCUCUUAACUCCUCUUCCCCUGAUUGGAGGAGCCAGGCAAUGUCUGUGCCUGUUUCGUUUGAAAGGAGCUCAGGUUGUCAUACCUCAUGUUUGUGAAGGAGAAAGAUUUCCAGUUUGUAUGCAGUGCAGCAAAGUCUUGGGUGCAUUACAGAUUCCACCUCGUUCACAUCGCAGUUUGGCAGGAUGGCAGCAGAGGUGCGGUUGAGGUAGUGAACGAGAGAAUAAAAUGACACACAGUUUUUGUAACCUGUCUGAACUUAUUUGAAGGCCGGAGGAUACUACUGUCGACCUUCAGCCUUCUGUAAAGCGGCGUCACUGCGAGGCAAAUUCUUGCAGGCUAACUGAUCGUAAUUCUGCUUCCGUUGAGAAACCAAACUGCAGGCCGUAGCGUCAGACGCACAGCUCCGUUUGCCCAACAUUUCUAAACCAUUGCUGCAGAGUUUCACGAGCCCUCCAUUUUUUUCACUGAUCAACAGGUCAUCAGUUGCACAGAACGUGGUGAUAGUUACUCAUUAGUUAAUUCCACAGUUGUACACUGCUUCAAAACGUUUGCUGCUAACAGCAUUUUCGGUCUUGCCAGCAAUUGGCUCUUGCAUGGAGAGUGAGCAGGAGCUCCCGUACAGGGCGAGCAAUCGUCUCUGAACCACACUGUGAAUCCAGCGGCCUGACGCCAUCGCAACUAUGGAAUGUACUGUACAUAUUUCACACCAUCGAGAGUGUGUCCACUGAGACACGGCAUGACGGAAUUAAGCAAUGAAACCAAGCGAGCACAAGAACACGGGCCACGAGGCUCCGCUGUAGGGACGUCUACCUGUAGUUUACCUUGCUCUUUUGCCAAACCAGAGGUCAUCGAGGGUCCGAUUCCCCCCGCGGCGCCCAGACCUGUCAUUAAUUAGCAGAUCUCCAUUUGAACCCUGGACUUCCAUAUAUAACAACACUGCACAGCCCAAUCUACUGCUGACCUACAUGCACACUCUAAAAGUCAUUCAUCAUCUCCCUCCAACUACCAGGCCUCUAAUCUACUCGCUAGAGGCGAAGCGGAAACGUAGAAAAAGAAGGAAAAAGAGAGAGAGGGAGAGAGAGGGGGUGAGAGAGUAACCUAUUUAUAUCCAUUGCAUAAUUGUGAGGAAUAUUAACAUUUCCACAUCUCUCAUGAUUGCUGUUUAAAUGCCAUUCAAAGUUUAACAUGCCAUACACUCAGUUAAUCUACUUCCAAACUAGUUACUGUAUUUCAGUACCAGCCGUGAGAUAUCAAGUUCUCAAAGUAUAAAUUGUUGUUCAAUACUGUUUGGUGAUCAAACUGUACCUGAUUUCAGAAGCACAAGCACUUGGUGCAGCAAUAUGAGGGUAAUAUGAUUAUAGUCAAAUAUGUCAUUUAUAUUUGUAGGUUAAUUCUGUCUCUCACUCUCUCCGUGUCCUCCCUCUGUCUUUGCACUACCUCUUUUUCUUCCUUUUUCUGUGCUCUGACUUAGACCCCCACAUGUCUUGCUCUGUCACCACUUUUCCCACUUUCUGUUGUCUCUCCUUUCCCCUUUCACUUUCUUCCCCUCCAGGCUGCCGGUCGCCACGGAUGUGUUGUGUGUGUGUGUUUAUCACAGAGGGUGUGUGUGUCUCCACAGCGGCUGAUGGGUAUUCUGCCGUGUCGCGAACACCGUACCUCUGGACUAAUACACGACAUAGUCUAACAUUAAUACAUGUGAUCAGAUUCUCAUGCUCUCUGCCUGAUUGAUUCAGUAUUCUACCUUAAACUAGCUAGAACAGGGAAUCUGUGCUCUGUGAGAACAUAGAGUCGUAAACCCAGAGAAAAGAACUCUGGUUAAAAAACAAACAGACAAAAAAACAAUAACCUAAGGGAGAUGGAUGUGAUAGCCACCUCAAACUCAAACGAUGAUGUCACCAUCGUUUGUGCUCUGUGUUCUCUUUCCUCUCUCUGAGAACUAUCGAAGAUCAUUUCUGCAUUUUUCCUUCAUUUAAAAAAAAAAAUGAAACUGUGGAAUCCGUCGCGUCUCAUGUUCUUUGUGUAUUUUGGUGUAGUUCCUCUAGUUUGUGGUCUAAAUGCAGUCUUGCGCUGUUGGUUUCAGUGUGUGAUUAUCCGUUAUACUCGUGUGGAUGAUGAAAGUGCCAAUCAAGCCUGGUUAAGAUUAGCUUUGCAAUUUGUUUGUGCAUUAGAGUUGCUCUCUUUGGAGUGCUGGUGUCCAUAUCUACGUCAUUGAUAAUUUUAGAUCGACUUAAAAUGUAAAGAACUAUUGGAAGCAAUAUUGUAGCAUGUUGUCAAGUUUUGUGUUUUGUUAUGUCUGUUGUAUGAGCCUUUGGAUUUACUACGAAUUUUGAAUUAAUAGGUUUACAUGUACUUUUUUGUAAUACCGUAAGUUUAAAAAAAAAAAGUAAAAAAUGCUGCUAUUUGAUAAGUGAAAUAUACAGAAAUAUUUUAGUUGAGAAAAAAAACGUCUGGUCUGUUGAUUAGGAUUGUGCUCGUUUUUUCGACAGGGGUAUAAACGAGGUGUAUCAAUAUUAAUUACAUAGACGCAGUAAUAAUAGUCAACCUGUGCCAAACUAGACUUUCACAGCUUCUCGACAUGUAGGUGUGUGAUGAAACAUUAGAUACCGAUAACUUAUUUAGAAGCAUUGAACAAGUGCCAAUUAAUCAAUAUCUUUUAGUUCCAAUGAAAAGAUAAUCAGCGAAGGAACAAAAAAAGACAUAGCGCAACAUUAGCAUUGUUUUGACCCCAUAGCUGCAUAGACUAAGAGAAAAAAAAAUUUAUGCAUCCAUAUGGUUUUAAUGCACUCAGUAGAGGCAUCCUGUGCAUUCGUUUGACCUGUGGCUUCCGCACUGCUUUUAAGUCAUAUUGUCUCUGUAGGUCGGCAUGGAGUAGGCAUACACAUGUUAUACGCAUUCAUAACACAGCCAUUUAUGAAAGUGUGUUUUGUGGAUUUAGGUGUUAUCUUUUUGCACGUCUCUAUUGCAUGAUAUCCAAGUGAAUUAUUGAGGGGUGGGAAAUCAAAACAGACAAACAUUUAAAAAAAUAAGCGUCUUGUGUCGCUCCGAGACACACUUCUGCAUGUGUCACAAACGGAGCGCUCUUUCUUUCUACCACUUCAUUUGUUUUUCUCUGGUUUGUACCGCUACUGUUUUUCUCGGUCAGAUGGGUGUGGUCUUCUAAAGGCCAGUACACAUAGGCCUAAGAACUGCAGCAUAACCAUGGGAACUGGAGUCAAUCAGGAAUUCAUAAAAGCGAGAGGAUUCCAGUUUACGACGGCGGAAUGUGUUCGUACUUAUGUGUGAGACUCCAUCUCCCGGCCUCUAAUUUCAGGGGAACAUACCCAUGCAUGGAAACGUCAUAUGAGUUCAGUUUUUUGGCUACGGUCGUGUUUAUUCAUACGAGGAGUUGCGUUCAUCGCUUUCAGACUUCUCUAGUUUCUCAGCUUGAUUCUCCUAACCCCACAUGUAAUUUAUGAAUGUAUUUACAUUUGCAUAAACUGAAACAAAAUGUUAUUUCAAUGUUAAAUGUCUUUUAGGUGUGAUGUUUACGGCGGAGGUUGUAAAGUUCAUGUAGCUCGAUCAUAUCUGUCAGUGUUAGGAAGGCCCAGAGCCACAUUAGCACCCAAAUUCAUUUCUCUCUCUUCCUGUCUGCUGAUGCAUCAAAUGCACUUUACUGAGCAUUAGGUCCCAUCACAAACACACACAGUGUAACCUUCUACUGGAUGCAAACCUGAACCAAGCAACCUGUUUUUAACAUGGAAAACUUUGACAGAUAUAUUGUUGUUUUUCCUGUUGUUGUGUUUUUAUUCUUUUCCUCCUUUGGUGUUUGUAAAUGAGUUGUAAUUUUUUAAAGUGUGUUUAUUUUUGUAUUUCUGUUCAUUUUGGGGAGGAGAGGUCAGAAGGAGUGUGUGUGUGUGUGUGUGUGUGUGUGUGUGUGUGUGUUUGUGUGUGUAUGAUAUCUGUCCUGCAUUCCUACUACAUUCCCUUCAGUGUGUGUGUGUGUGUGUGUGUGCGCGUGCGUGUGUGUGUGCGUGCGUGCGUGUGUGCGUGCGUGUGUGUGUGCGUGUGCGUGAGAGCCUUUGCAUGGGUGUUUGUUUGUGAGUGUCUAGAUAAUGACACACGGACACUCUUGUUACCAUUGUAAUUGCCAACUGUGUGUGAAACUGAAGUGCUUUGAAAGUGAAAGGUGUUAUUUUUGAUUUUCAAAACUGUACGUUCUGUUCAGUUUAGAGGAAUGGAAAAUAAAUUGCAGAAACCUCUGAAAA